rnacentral:misc_RNA from 1 species
CAGAGAACAUCGCCCUCACGGGUGACUCUCCAACCCUAUGUUAUUUUACCUUUGUUGCUUUGGCGGGUCGCCUUGGCCACCGGCUCACGCUGGUGAGUGCCCGCCAGAGGACCCCAAACUCUGAAUAUUAGUGUCGUCUGAGUACUAUAUAAUAGUUA